AUUGAACGCUGGCGGCAGGCUUAACACAUGCAAGUCGAGCGGAGAUGAGGUGCUUGCACCUUAUCUUAGCGGCGGACGGGUGAGUAAUGCUUAGGAAUCUGCCUAUUAGUGGGGGACAACAUUCCGAAAGGAAUGCUAAUACCGCAUACGUCCUACGAGAGAAAGCAGGGGAUCGUCGGACCUUGCGCUAAUAGAUGAGCCUAAGUCGGAUUAGCUAGUUGGUGGGGUAAAGGCCUACCAAGGCGACGAUCUGUAGCGGGUCUGAGAGGAUGAUCCGCCACACUGGGACUGAGACACGGCCCAGACUCCUACGGGAGGCAGCAGUGGGAAAUAUUGGACAAUGGGGGGAACCCUGAUCCAGCCAUGCCGCGUGUGUGAAGAAGGCCUUAUGGUUGUAAAGCACUUUAAGCGAGGAGGAGGCUACUGAGACUAAUACUCUUGGAUAGUGGACGUUACUCGCAGAAUAAGCACCGGCUAACUCUGUGCCAGCCGCCGCCGUAACAC
rnacentral:rRNA from 1 species